GCGGGUAUGGUGUAGUGGUAGCACAAAUGCUUUCCAAGCAUUUUGCAGGGGUUCGAAUCCCCUUACCCGCU
rnacentral:tRNA from 1 species